rnacentral:rRNA from 1 species
UACGAAGGGGGCUAGCGUUGUUCGGAAUUACUGGGCGUAAAGCGCACGUAGGCGGAUUUGUAAGUCAGGGGUGAAAUCCCGGGGCUCAACCUCGGAACUGCCUUUGAUACUGCGAAUCUCGAGUCCGGAAGAGGUGAGUGGAAUUCCUAGUGUAGAGGUGAAAUUCGUAGAUAUUAGGAAGAACACCAGUGGCGAAGGCGGCUCACUGGUCCGGUACUGACGCUGAGGUGCGAAAGCGUGGGGAGCAAACAGG